ensembl:snRNA U6 U6 spliceosomal RNA
GUGCUCACCUUGGCAGCACAUAUACUAAAAUUGAAAUGAUACAGAGAAGAUUAGCAUAGCCUCCGCACAAGGAUGACACACAAAUUCGUAAAGUGUUCCAUAUUUUG